UUUUUUUUUUACCUGUACAUGAUGGAACCUGGUGAGGUGCUGGAUUACUCAGAGCAGAUUGAUUCAUGACUGUCUGAACUGGAAGUGUUUGAUUCUGUGGCUGGAGGCCUGCAGCUGGAGGAACCUGUCCAGGUCCUGCUGUCUGAGUUGUGGCACUGCAUUAACUGGAGCAGACAUAUUUAUGACGGGCUGAACUGGAGCAGCAGGAGGAGAAGCUGGAUCAGGACCUAAAUGAGAGUGAAAAACUUUCUAGAACCUGGAGAACAGUUUCAUAGACUGGUUCAGACUGAGUCAAACCUGGCUGAACUGGAGGCGGUUGAUCAUUUGUCUGGGGUCCUGGGGCUGGAGGAGCCGUUGCAGGACCUUCUGACUGAGGCAUGGGAUUUGGAAGCUCAUUUUGGGGUGGACAACCUAUUUAAUAAAGAGAGAGAGAAAACUCAGUAAUAAAAACACAGCACUUUUUAGUUUUGAUUUACUAUAACUGUAACUGUGCAUGUGUGACCAGACCAAAUUUGAAAAUAAUAAACUUUAUUGUUAUGGGAA